rnacentral:rRNA from 1 species
CCUACGGGCGGCAGCAGUGAGGAAUAUUGGUCAAUGGACGAGAGUCUGAACCAGCCACGUAGCGUGAAGGAUGACUGACCUAUGGGUUGUAAACUUCUUUUGUAAAGGAAUAAAACGAGGCACGUGUGCCUUUUUGCAUGUACUUUAUGAAUAAGGAUCGGCUAACUCCGUGCCAGCAGCCGCGGUAAUACGGAGGAUCCGAGCGUUAUCCGGAUUUAGUGGGUGUAAAGGGAGCGUAGAUGGGUUGUUAAGUCAGUUGUGAAAGUUUGCGGCUCAACCGUAGAAUUGCAAUUGAUACUGGCAGUCUUGAGUACAGUUGAGGUAGGCGGAAUUCGUGGUGUAGCGGUGAAAUGCUUAGAUAUCACGAAGAACCCCGAUUGCGAAGGCAGCUUACUAAACUGUGACUGACAUUGAUGCUCGAAAGUGUGGGUAUCAAACAGGAUUAGAUACCCGGGUAGUC